AUGCAGUCGAGCGGGGAAGGUAGCUUGCUACCUGACCUAGCGGCGGACGGGUGAGUAAUGCUUAGGAAUCUGCCUAUUAGUGGGGGACAACAUUCCGAAAGGAAUGCUAAUACCGCAUACGCCCUACGGGGGAAAGCAGGGGAUCUUCGGACCUUGCGCUAAUAGAUGAGCCUAAGUCAGAUUAGCUAGUUGGUGGGGUAAAGGCCUACCAAGGCGACGAUCUGUAGCGGGUCUGAGAGGAUGAUCCGCCACACUGGGACUGAGACACGGCCCAGACUCCUACGGGAGGCAGCAGUGGGGAAUAUUGGACAAUGGGCGAAAGCCUGAUCCAGCCAUGCCGCGUGUGUGANNAAGGCCUUUUGGUUGUAAAGCACUUUAAGCGAGGAGGAGGCUACCGAGAUUAAUACUCUUGGAUAGUGGACGUUACUCGCAGAAUAAGCACCGGCUAACUCUGUGCCAGCAGCCGCGGUAAUACAGAGGGUGCGAGCGUUAAUCGGAUUUACUGGGCGUAAAGCGUGCGUAGGCGGCUUUUUAAGUCGGAUGUGAAAUCCCUGAGCUUAACUUAGGAAUUGCAUUCGAUACUGGGAAGCUAGAGUAUGGGAGAGGAUGGUAGAAUUCCAGGUGUAGCGGUGAAAUGCGUAGAGAUCUGGAGGAAUACCGAUGGCGAAGGCAGCCAUCUGGCCUAAUACUGACGCUGAGGUACGAAAGCAUGGGGAGCAAACAGGAUUAGAUACCCUGGUAGUCCAUGCCGUANACGAUGUCUACUAGCCGUUGGGGCCUUUGAGGCUUUAGUGGCGCAGCUAACGCGAUAAGUAGACCGCCUGGGGAGUACGGUCGCAAGACUAAAACUCAAAUGAAUUGACGGGGGCCCGCACAAGCGGUGGAGCAUGUGGUUUANUUCGAUGCAACGCGAAGAACCUUACCUGGUCUUGACAUAGUAAGAACUUUCCAGAGAUGGAUUGGUGCCUUCGGGAACUUACAUACAGGUGCUGCAUGGCUGUCGUCAGCUCGUGUCGUGAGAUGUUGGGUUAAGUCCCGCAACGAGCGCAACCCUUUUCCUUAUUUGCCAGCGGGUUAAGCCGGGAACUUUAAGGAUACUGCCAGUGACAAACUGGAGGAAGGCGGGGACGACGUCAAGUCAUCGUGGCCCUUACGACCAGGGCUACACACGUGCUACAAUGGUCGGUACAAAGGGUUGCUACCUAGCGAUAGGAUGCUAAUCUCAAAAAGCCGAUCGUAGUCCGGAUUGGAGUCUGCAACUCGACUCCAUGAAGUCGGAAUCGCUAGAAUCGCG
rnacentral:rRNA from 1 species